rnacentral:lncRNA from 1 species
UGGAGUAAUUGCUGAAUCAGACAGAGCCAAUCGAUGAUCAGCAGGGCCUGAAAACGCCAAAACCCUGAGACAACUGACCUUCAAAAACUUCAACAUCCCUGAAUGAAACGUCCAAACACAUUUAUCUGCCAAUCAAAAACCCUUUAUAGUCUGUGAUCUAUGCAUCUCAGAAGUCUCUUUUUACCACACUGUCUAUAUACUGCAUGAACCAUUUAUAUGAAUCUAUCUGACACUCCAAGGCAUCUUAUACUAUAUAUUCAACCAUGUAUCCCUAGUAACUAGUACAGUCCUGGCAUAUAGUUUGCUACUAAACAUUUGCAGAAUGAAGUAAUUAUCUUGUAUCCAGGUUCCAAGUUGUAAGGUAAUUUCUCACUAAAAAAAAGCAUUACAGUUCGCAAACAAUCUACUUCCUUUUUUACAAAUGAGAUCGACUUUAAUCUUAUCCCCUAAUAACAUUAUUUUCCUUUACUUCCAUCUAAGUAUACUGUCCUAAGAGAGCAAUAAGAAAGAGAGUUAAAGCUGAAGCUUGAAGAAUUGUACAUGGUCCACAGUGUGGCCUGACAUGCACUGCUCACCUGAGCUUCAUCUGUUAGGUAUGUCAGGGAAGAUAAGCAGGGUGAGAGUGGCCCCAACAGAGGACGCCAGAUCUCUGGCUUCCCCAUCUGACAAGUACACUUCUGUGAACAAAGACUUCAGAGCCAGAUGACAAGAAUAGCCGAAGCAGUCCACCAGGGAAACCUGGGCCCAGUGUACAUCAAUGCAGAGCAUCAAGCACAGCAUAACAGGUGUGCAGUUGCCUAUUCCUGGUCAGAGAUAACUGCAUCCCACACACUGUAAAAUGAGGAAAUGCAGGGAAGCAGAUGUAACCGAAGAAGACAGCAGGAGCAACAAGGAGGGACAACCAUGACCUAGGAGGGCACCAUGCCAGAGAUGCCUGGACCCCAUGCUAGGCUCAGUGCCCAUUAUGCUGUUGGGACCCAGUGCUUCCCUUCUCCAUCACUUGGCAUACUUGCCAUUUUUUUUUGCUUAAAAUAAUGUUUUAAUGUUCACCUUUCCUAGGAGACACAGGCAGAUCCUGUGACACUACAGUUUCUGGCACACAAUAGGUGCAUCACAAACAACUGCUGAGUUCACACACUCUUACCUUCUCAAACCUUCUUGUCAAGUCUUCAGUGAAAAGGAAUUGCUGACUGAGCAAAAAUUAAACCUAGAAACUCCUGGAUCCACUGAAGUUUGAGACAAGCUGUAGUCAGGAAGUGUUAGAAAGUUCUAAACAGGAAAUGUUCCAACACACCAUCUAAGCAUGAAGCAGAAUCCACCUAUAAUUGAGUUUGCUACCACCAACCUCAACAGCAAGAAUUCCAAUACUGCUGCUGCAAAUUCUCUUUGAGAGUCUUUCUUGCAGUUGAGGUUGGUUGGCUGCUGCUGAAGUCACCUGAAAGCUCAACUAAGCUAAAGAGCCUAGACGGGUUACUCAGAAGACUGGCAGUGCAUAUUGGCUACUGUGUGUGAUGCCUGUCUGACCUCUCUAUAUUACCUGGAGUCCUCACAAUGUGGUAGUUGGUCCCAAGACACACAGGCAAAUACUAUAAAGCUUCUUAUGACCUACACUUGAAGGUUCUAGAAUAUGACUUCUGCUGCAUCCUAUUGGUAAAGCAAGUCAUUGUGACCAGCACAGAUUCAAGAAAUGGGAGAUUCGACUCUACCUGUCAGUGUAAAGAGCAGCAUGUGCAUGCAGGGAGGAAAGAAAUUGAGGGCAUCAUCUUGAAGACUAUCAUAUCACACCAUUAUUCCAGCUAAUGAACAUUAUGUUUUAGAUGGGUGGUACUAGCUACUCAUCUCUCCCCCAGAAACCCAAGCUAGGCAUUAACAUACUGAAAAGAAUGUCAGCACCAUUAAAAAAACUCUAGAAAAAUCACAUGUGAUGACUGAGGUUAAUUCAGUCUGUCAAUUACAUCAAUAUAAUUCCCCUCUAGUAACCCUAAAUAUGUUGAAACAGAAUUGAAUUCUACAAAAGCCUUUUGUCUGUUUUCCUAUGGAAUAAUUAACAAACCUAAUAAAUGUGUAAAGAGCA